GUGGGGAAUAUUGCACAAUGGGGGAAACCCUGAUGCAGCGACGCCGCGUGGAGGAAGAAGGUCUUCGGAUUGUAAACUCCUGUUGUUGAGGAAGAUAAUGACGGUACUCAACAAGGAAGUGACGGCUAACUACGUGCCAGCAGCCGCGGUAAAACGUAGGUCACAAGCGUUGUCCGGAAUUACUGGGUGUAAAGGGAGCGCAGGCGGGAAGACAAGUUGGAAGUGAAAUCCAUGGGCUCAACCCAUGAACUGCUUUCAAAACUGUUUUUCUUGAGUAGUGCAGAGGUAGGCGGAAUUCCCGGUGUAGCGGUGGAAUGCGUAGAUAUCGGGAGGAACACCAGUGGCGAAGGCGGCCUACUGGGCACCAACUGACGCUGAGGCUCGAAAGUGUGGGGAGCAAACAGGAUUAGAAACCCUGGUAGUCC
rnacentral:rRNA from 1 species